UUUUCAUCUUCCCUGAUGAUGAAAAAAAUGGGUAAGGAACAAUUUGACAUUCAGUUCAGGAAGAAGAUGCAGGUGUGAUAACAGUCUACAGGUUAUUUUGCAGAAGGAAUGUGGCUUGAGAAAGUUAAUGUGAAAUCAACACUGAACUUUGUUAACUGUUGCUAUCAAGAUUUGUAGACUAAAAACGUUCUUUACCAGUUCACCUCUAAAUUAGUAUCAGGAUACUUUCAGAAUGUCUAGCAAAGAAGUGAAGACUGCCCUAAAAAGUGCAAGAGAUGCAAUCAGAAACAAAGAGUACAAAGAAGCUUUGAAACAUUGCAAGACAGUGUUAAAACAAGAGAAAAAUAACUAUAAUGCCUGGGUUUUCAUUGGUGUUGCCGCAGCUGAAUUAGAACAGCCCGAUCAGGCCCAGGGUGCCUAUAAGAAAGCUGCUGAGCUAGAGCCAGAGCAGCUACUUGCUUGGCAGGGGCUAGCGAGUUUGUAUGAGAAGUGUAAUCAUGAAAAUGCUAAGGGGGAUUUACCUGGUGUUUACCAAAAGCUGUUGGAUCUCUAUGAAAGUGUUGACAAACAGAAGUGGUGUGAUGUCUGUAAGAAGCUUGUGGGUCUGCAUCACCAGGAAAAGAGGCAGCUAGAGGUGGCUCGGACAUGGUAUAAAUUGAUAAAGACACGGCGAGAAGACGGAGCAGACAAGCAAGAGCUUUAUGAGCUGUGGAGAAAACUGACUGAGUUGCUAGCUGAGAAUAUAGAGGACCAGGAUAAUGAAACCCAGCAGAUGCUUUUAACUGCAUUUGAGAAUGCACUGGAUUUAGCAGAUAAUAUUCCCAGUGAAGAUCACCAAGUACUUUAUAGGCAUUUCAUUCAAUGCUUAUCUAAAUUUCCUCAUGAGACUACAAGGUUGGAGAAGGCUUGUGAAGGGAUGAUAACUAUCUAUCCCACCAUACAGUAUCCACUAGAAGUGAUUUGUUUGUACUUGAUUGAGACAGGGAGUCUGACAGAUGAGGGACAGCGGUAUUGUUGUAAGCUAGUGGAAAUGAAUUCAAAGAGUGGUCCAGGCCUCAUUGGCUUAGGCAUUAAAGCUUUACAAGACAAGAAGUAUGAAGAUGCUGUUAGUCACCUGACAGAAGGCGUGAAGGAAAGCCCUCUCUGCAUAGCUGGCUGGUGUCAUCUAGCAGAAGCCCAAACCAAAAUGCACAGACCCAAGGAAGCUAUUCUUUCUUGCAACCAAGCACUGAAGAACAUAGAUAAUCAUGGUGUGGCAGGUGGCAACCGUCAUCAGAAGAAUCUCUGUCUUCUGAAAGCAGAGGCUUUGCUUAAACUCUCGGAUUGUGAGUCUUCAGAGGAAGCACUUCGCAUUCUUGAUCAGGUUUCGGAUGCAGAUAAUACCCCAGGACUGCUGGUUCUUCGAGGCCUGGCCCGUCUGAACACAGGUGCUGUAGACGAGGCUACAAAGAUUAUGGAAGAUCUUCGAGCUUCUUACCCUGACCUGGCCGAAGUCCAUGCGCUUGAGGCUCUGAUACAUUUUACUAAGAAGGACUAUCUGCAAGCAGAAGCAUGUUUCCAGAGAGCAAUUGAGAAAGACGCUGAAGUUGCUGAAUAUCAUUACCAGCUUGGGUUGACAUACUGGUUCAUGGGCGAAGAGACAAGAAAAGAUAAAGCAAAGGCUCUGACCCACUUUCUGAAGGCUGCAAGACUGGACACAUACAUGGGUAAAGUUUUCUGCUAUUUAGGUCAUUAUUACCGCGAUAUAGCUGGAGAUAGGAGCAGAGCCCGCGGAUGUUACAGGAAAGCUUUUGAAUUAGAUGACACCGAUGCUGAGUCUGGAGCGGCAGCCGUUGACCUAAGUGUGGAACUUGAAGACACGGAAACUGCUUUAGCUAUCUUAACAGCAGUAACUCAAAAGGCAAGUGCUGGAGCAGCGAAGUGGGCCUGGCUUCGGCGAGGACUGCACUAUCUGAAAGCUGGGCAGCAUUCGCAAGCAGUGGCUGAUUUACAGGCGGCACUAAGGGCGGACCCAAAGGACUGUAAUUGUUGGGAAUCCUUGGGAGAGGCGUACUUGAGCAGGGGUGGCUACACAACAGCCUUGAAGUCCUUCACGAGAGCCAGCGAGCUGAACCCAGACUCCACCUACAGUGUGUUUAAGGUAGCAGCGAUUCAGCAGCUCCUGGGCCGGUACACAGAAGCCAUCACUCAGUAUCAGCUCAUCCUUAAAAAGGAGGAGGGCUAUGUGCCGGCCUUGAAAGGUUUGGGUGAGUGCUAUCUGAUGAUGGCGAAAACAGCUUUAGUGGAUUUUCUGGAUGGGAAAGCUGUGGACUAUGUGGAAAAAGCACUGGAAUAUUUUACUUGGGCACUGCAGCAUCGAGCUGAUGUGUCCUGCCUUUGGAAGCUUGCUGGGGAUGCCUGCACCAGCCUGCAUGCUGUUUCACCGUCGAAAGUGAAUGUUCAUGUCUUAGGAGUCCUUCUCGGUCAGCAAGAAGGAAGAGAAGUAUUAAAGAAAGACGAGCUUCUGCAUCUUGGAGGAAGAUGCUAUGGUCGUGCAUUAAAGUUGAUGUCGACAUCUAAUACGUGGUGUGAUCUUGGAAUUAAUUACUACCACCAAGCACGACAUCUGGCAGAGACAGGCAGUGGCACGGAUGGCCUUACCGAGCUCCUGGAGAAAUCUGUGCAUUGUUUAAAGAAGGCAGUGAGAUUGGACAGUAAUAAUCACUUAUACUGGAAUGCUCUUGGUGUGGUUGCAUGUUACCGUGGUAUUAGAAAUUAUGCCCUUGCUCAGCACUGUUUCAUCAAAUCAAUCCAAGCAGAACAAAUUAAUGCUGCUGCAUGGACCAAUUUAGGAGUGCUAUACCUUGCGACCGAAAACAUCGAGCAAGCUCAUGAAGCUUUCAAAAUGGCUCAGUCCCUUGACCCAUCUUAUUUAUUGUGCUGGAUUGGACAAGCUCUUAUUGCAGAGACAGUUGGAAGUUAUGACACCAUGGAUCUCUUCAGGCACACUACAGAGCUAAGUAUGCAUACUGAAGGUGCCAUAGGUUAUGCAUAUUGGGUUUGUACAACAUUACAAGACAAAAGCAACAGAGAAACAGAGCUGUACAAGUACAACAUCCUCCAGAUGAACGCUGUCCCUGCGGCACAGGGUGUUCUGUGUAAAUAUGUGGAAAGAAUUCAGAAUGACGCUCCAGCUUUCACAAUGCUGGGUUAUUUAAAUGAACUUCUGCAGCUGAGAAGGGAAGCAGCAGAGGCAUACCAAAGGGCAACUGCACUGUUACAGUCCACAGAAGACCAACAUGCUUACAAUGUUACAGUGAGAAACUGGGGCAGAUUGUUAUGUUCCCUUGGUGACUAUGACAGAGCUAUCCAGGCCUUUAAGUCAACGCCCCUUGAGGAGCUGGAGGACAUCAUAGGUUUCGCAUUGGCAUUGUUUAUGAAGGGCCUGUAUAAGGAGAGCAACAAAGCCUACGAGAGAGCCUUGACUGUUGUUAAAUCAGAGCAAGACAAAGCUCAUGUCUUGACAGCUCUGGCAAUAACAGAAUACAAACAAGGACAAAUGGAUGCAGCCAAGUCACUGCUUUUCAAAUGCUCUAUUUUAAAGGAACCAACCACAGAAAGCCUUCAAGCCCUGUGCGCUCUGGGCUUGGCAAUGCAGGACGCCACGCUGUCCAAAGCAGCGCUUAACGAGUUCCUGAAGCACGUUCCACACAAAGACAGUUACCACAGAUGCCUCCUGACUGCAGCAGUGUAUGCCCUGCAGGGCCGCGGCGGGGCGGUGCAGAGACAGGCAUCCAGGGCUGUCCACAGUAACCCUGCUGACCCUGCUCUUUGGUCUUUGCUGUCCCGAGUUGUUGCUCAGUAUACUCAACGGAAUGCAAGGGGAGGUGCUGUAGCUGGCAUUGUGGCUCAUAUUCUGGAUUCAAAUCACGGAAAGAAGGCAUUAUUAUAUACUGCAGUAAACCAGCUGGCCAUGGGAAGCAGUACAGCAGAAGAUGAAAAAAAUACUGCUUUGAAGACCAUUCAGAAGGCAGCUUUCCUUUCUCCAGAUGACCCUGCUGUCUGGGCUGGGCUGAUGGCAGCCUGCCAUGCUGAUGAUAAACUGGCUUUGGUCAGCAACACGCAGCCAAAGAGAGUGGAUUUGCACUUAGCUUUGCUGUCUGCUGUUUCUGUCUCACUUAAGGACAAAGAAAGUUUACAAAAUUACAACCAGUCACUUGAAAAGUGGUCUUUCUCACAAGCUGUCACUGGUCUAAUUGACACGGGAAGAAUAUCUGAAGCUGAAUCUCUAUGCACAAAGAAUUUAAAAAGUAACCCUGAUCAGCCAGCUGUUAUCUUACUGCUGAGACAAGUUCAGUGUAAAUCACUCCUGGAAUCACAGAAGCCCCUCCCAGAUGCUGUACUUGAAGAACUGCAAAAAACAGUCAUGUCCAAUUCCACCUCCGUUCCAGCGUGGCAGUGGUUGGCACAGGUAUAUCAGUCCCAAGGAAUGAUGGGGGCUGCAGAGAUGUGUUACAGAAAGAGUCUACAAGUGGCAUCCCAACAGGGCAGUUGGAGUGGGAAGCUCUCGAGUCUGUUGAAGCUAGCACUGCUAGCAUUGGAAGUCUGCAUGGCUAAUGUUUCAGGUGAUCACUGGUCGUCCUUGCUUCAAGAGGCUACAAGCGAGGCCUUGAAAGUUUGCUUUUGUCCUCUGGCUGUCUUCUUGCAAGCUUUGUUACAGUUCAACCGCAAGAUGGGAGCAAGAGAGACACGGCGACUCUUGGAGAGAGUGGUGUAUCAGCCUGGUUAUCCCUCCUCAAUUGUAUCAACUGCACGCUGGUACCUUUUAAGACACCUCUAUGCGAAAAAUGACUAUGAGCUCAUUGACGUGUUGGUGAAGAAUGCUGAAACUCACGGUGAUAAAAGAACACUGGAUCUGAACAAGAGGCUGUCGUCGCAGUAAUCUCAGGCUGUGAGACUACGUAAGAACUGAAGAAAGUAGGACAGGCAGUGACGAGUUCACCACAACAACUAGUCUAGGACUAAAGCUGUAUCCGCUGGGCGGUGGUGCACGCCGUUAAUCCCAGCACUCAGGAGCCAGAGAGUUCUUCAGACCAAGUCUUGGUGAAAUAUACAUGUGCUCGUGUAGUCUGUCUGGCUAGUUCCAUCUCAGAUCCUAGUGAAGGAGCCUUACAUGAAUGCUUGUAAGAUUUUGACUGCUAAUGAAUAUGUCUAUAAAGUUUAAAAUGCUCAGUUACCUAGUUACAUUUAAAAACAAAUAUUAAUGAAAAAUAUGUUGAAAAUGACGCUGAUAAUAUUUAAUUAUUCGUGCAAUUUCUUCAUGAUGAAAAGACAUGAACUACCUGAAAUAAAACAAAAAUCAGUGUCUUCUUUUUUCAUAUUACCAAUGUGAGACAUGGUUUUUAAGUUGGGAUUUAAAACUUAAAAGCAGAGUUACCUAUUUUUUCCAAAAAGUAAUUUAUAUAUUUAAAUAGCCUGUAUGUCACUUACUUUGGAUUGUGGUUUUCAAUAUUCCAGUCGGCAUGGUGUUACAUGCCUUUAAUACCUGCCCUUGAGAGGCAGAGGCAGGCAGAUCUCGAAUUUCAGAUUAGUCUGGUCUACAUAGAGAGUUCCAGGACAGCCCAAAUUACAUAAUGAGAUCUUGUCUCAACAUUUUUUUUUCAGAUGUAAACAUUUAUUGUACAGAGGUAUAUAGCAAUAUAAUUUAGUAUAUGUUUUUUCCUAAGCCAGCAGGCUCAUUGUAUCAUUUUCUGAAAUCAUAUGAAUUGAUAAUAUCUUUUAAUUAAAUUGUGCUUCAGAGGUUAUUUUCUUAGACAGAACUGUAACCUGGUAUUUCCCAAUUGUGGUGGAACAUUGUAAUCACAGUCAGAAUCCUUGGGAUGGGAGGGAUCAGAACUCAGCCUUCGGAUGGAACCUGAGGCAGUCCUUAAUGCUUGUACAGACCUGAACACACAUGGUCCUCUGCUUAUUUCUCCCUGGUGCUCCUCCUAAGCGAUCCAGGGUUUACAGCCUGACCCACAGGCAGCUGGAGAUGCUCUGCAGGAGGCAGCUGCCAGCCUGGUGCCCGCGUCCUUCCGUCUCCUGCUGGCUGAGCUGCUGCCAUCUGCCUGUGUUAGUCACGGCCGCUGCCGUCCCCCUGCUCUCUGGAGGUGCCUGGGCUUCGCGAGGCUACCUCCUUCCCCUCUAGAUUAUGUGACCAAUUUUUGGUUUAGAAAAUGCAGUCACUUAGGAUUUGUGUACUGAAGAUCACUCCUCUUGUGUUUGGCCUUUGCUCCAGCCCACAUUCAAGUGGUGACCUUUGGGUUAUUUUGCCAAGUCUGGAACCUGAGUCUUCUGGAAAUUGGGGCGGUAAAAAUGUAUUUAAUAUCGAUUCAGAUCUUUUUUGCAUUAAAAUGUACACAUGCAGGUUAUUUUCUGCCAAACUUGAGAUCAUCUUUUUUUACCUUCUGCUUUAAUAUUGUUAAACAAUAUUCUUAAAACAAAGUCAAUUUGAAACAAAUAAACAUUAUAAAACUGUAGAAAAUUGAGUUAAAUUAAAACUAAUUUCUCCAAGGA